rnacentral:lncRNA from 1 species
GGCAGUUAUCCGUCCGGCUUGGGAGUGGAACUUGGGAUCGAGCUAUACAAGUUUUAGAUCUUGAAAACCCAAGAAACUUACACUGUUUUCCGCAUCAAGAACAUGGGCACAAAUCCUUGAGGUGCACCAAACCAAUGUCUCAAUUACCAUCAUAAUAACCAACAAGGUGUUGGCAUGAGUUGUAGGAAAUCAAAAUAGGGAAUACAAAUCAAUGUAAAUUCACCUAAUCCAGCAAUCAACCAUGCUACUGGGCAUCAAUUAUGUAUAGGCAAAAAUAGAUUGCAGAAUCUCCCUAUUUAUAUGUAUCCAACUCAAUGUAAUGGAAUAUACCGAAAAAUGAAGAAAAAGACUUACCUUUGAAACAUGGUAUCAGAGCAGAAAAUCGAUCCAGGGCACCCUCUUUAUCAAAAAUCCAUAUUCUCCUUCGUGUAAACAUUUUCUCGAACACAUGGCUAACAUAGGAGUUAUCACCAACGUAGGAGAUAAUCCACCCAACCCCGAGGC